UGAAAUAGAUCCUGAAACCGCAUGCAUACAAACAGUCGGAGCCUCUUCGGGGGUGACGGCGUACCUUUUGUAUAAUGGGUCAGCGACUUACGUUCAGUAGCAAGCUUAACCGAAUAGGGCAGGCGUAGCGAAAGCGAGUCCGAAUAGGGCGUUCAGUUGCUGGGCGUAGACCCGAAACCAGGUGAUCUAUCCAUGGCCAGGAUGAAGGUGCGGUAACACGUACUGGAGGUCCGAACCCACUAACGUUGAAAAGUUAGGGGAUGAGCUGUGGAUAGGGGUGAAAGGCUAAACAAACCUGGAAAUAGCUGGUUCUCUCCGAAAACUAUUUAGGUAGUGCCUCGUGUCUCACCUUCGGGGGUAGAGCACUGUCAUGGUUGGGGGGUCUAUUGCAGAUUACCCCGCCAUAGCAAACUCCGAAUACCGAAGAGUGCAAUCACGGGAGACAGACAUCGGGUGCUAACGUCCGGUGUCAAGAGGGAAACAACCCAGACCGCCAGCUAAGGUCCCCAAAUAUGGCUAAGUGGGAAACGAAGUGGGAAGGCUAAAACAGUCAGGAGGUUGGCUUAGAAGCAGCCACCCUUUAAAGAAAGCGUAAUAGCUCACU
rnacentral:rRNA from 1 species